rnacentral:rRNA from 1 species
UACGUAGGGUCCGAGCGUUGUCCGGAAUUACUGGGCGUAAAGAGCUCGUAGGUGGUUUGUCGCGUUGUUCGUGAAAAACUCACAGCUCAACUGUGGGCGUGCGGGCGAUACGGGCAGACUGGAGUACUGCAGGGGAGACUGGAAUUCCUGGUGUAGCGGUGGAAUGCGCAGAUAUCGAGGAGGAACACCGGUGGCGAAGGCGGGGUCUCUGGGGCCGAUACUGACGCUGAGGAGCGAAAGCGUGGGGAGCGAACAGG